GCUCUGUUUAUUAUUAUUAUUAUUAUUAUUAUUAUUAUUAUUAGGGCCCGAGCACUUCGAGUGCGAAGGCCCUAUUGUAUCUGCUCUGUUUAUUAUUAUUAUUAUUAUUAUUAUUAUUAUUAUUAUUAUUAUUAUUAUUAUUUUUCAUUGAAAUGAAUUGCCUUUUUGAGGGCUUUAACAUGCUCAAAAACUCAUGAAAUUUUGCACACAUGCCAGGUCUGGUGAAAAAUUUUGUAUUUUAAUGGUUUUAUAUAUGAGCACUGGGAAAUGGCUCUGUAGCGCCACCUAUGCGUUGUUAAAUGCAGCCCUACGAACACAUCUUUUGAGCUACAUGUAUGAAAUUUAGCACACAUGUGUAUCAUGCCAAGACGAACAAAAAAGUCAAUGGGACCAUUGACGCAGACCCAACAGGAAGUCCGCCAUUUCGAAGUGAAAGUGACAUUUUGGCUCCAAUUUUGCCAUUUCCAUGCCUCGAACUUUUUCGAACUCCUCCUUGGGAUUUUGUCAUAGAAACUUCAUAUUUGGACAGUGCCAACUACACACCUGGGCCAUGUUAAAUUGCGGAGCUUUUGAGUUUUCGUGAUACGGUGAGGCCGUGGCGCCACGGCGAAUUUCGAUGACUCGCCACGAAAAUCUUAUUGUCUCUCAUUCUCUCAUACAUGGUCCGACGUGGACCAAAGAGCACACAUAUGAUAAGGCUCCACCCCUGAACAUAUUUCAACUGCCAUAUUUGACACCAGGGACAGCGCCACCUAGUGGCAACAGGAAAUGUCAUGUUUUACACUUUGGUGUACAGUAUUGUGAUGGGUGACAUCUGCAGCCUGAAAUUUUUCCAGGAAAGCCUUAAGGAGUUGGUCUUGGCUUACAGUGAAAACUGUGAGUUUUCGCGAAAGGGUGUGACCCCAGCAGCGUGGCGAACAUUGAUGUCUCGCCAUGAAGAAACAAAUUAGUGUAACUCAAUGAAAUCCAGUCUGAUCAGAACCAGACUUUACAGGCAUGAUGUCAGACCCGCCCUGAACAGAUUGAUGUGCCCAUUGUCAGGAAUACGAGGAGCGCCACCUAGUGGCAGCAGGAAAUGUCAUGUCUUUCAUUUUGUUGUACUGAUUUUCACAGGUUCAUCGUGGCCACCUGAAAAGCAGUGAAUAGCACCAUCAGUCCCUCAUGAUGCUUCAGUGAGAAAAUUGUGACUUUAAACUGAACGGCGCACCCUGGUGGUAACGCUGUUCACCAUGACCAUUGAAGUGGCUUUUGAGGGGCUUGGAAAGUUUAAAAUGUCUUGAAAUUUGGCGCAUACCUCCAGUGUGAUGAGCGCUUUCUUGUUAUUUUACCAUUUUCAUUGAAUAGCGCAAAAUGGCUCCACAGCGCCCCCUACAAAAUUUCAAAUCAACAGCCCCUGCUCUGUGUUUUAUGUAUGAGUCUGAAACCUGGUAAGCUUCUGGAAGAUAUCAAGAUGUACAAAAAAGUCUCUUGGAGCAAUAUCCCAAAUCCAACAGGAAGUCAGACAUUUUGAAAUUAAUGUGUAAUUUUGGCGACAAUUUCCCUUCUUUUCAGGCCUCAUACUUUGACGAACUCCUCCAAGGGAUUUCAUCAGAUUGAGGCGAUCUCCUGUGCGUGGAAUCUAAAGACCUUUGUGAUGUUAAAUUGCGAAGC
ensembl:lncRNA